CCUACGGGGGGCAGCAGUAAGGAAUCUUCCACAAUGGGGGCAACCCUGAUGGAGCAACGCCGCGUGAAGGAUGAAGGCCCUAGGGUCGUAAACUUCUUUUGUUAGCGAAGAAUAUGACGGUAACUAACGAAUAAGGGUCGGCUAACUACGUGCCAGCAGCCGCGGUCAUACGUAGGACCCAAGCGUUAUCCGGAGUGACUGGGCGUAAAGAGUUGCGUAGGCGGCUCGUUAAGCAGAUAGUGAAAUCACGUGGCUCAACCAUUGUGGCUAUUAUCUGAACUGGCGAGCUCGAGAAUGGUAGAGGUAGCUGGAAUUUCUAGUGUAGGAGUGAAAUCCGUAGAUAUUAGAAGGAACACCAAUGGCGUAGGCAGGCUACUGGACCAUUUCUGACGCUGAGGCACGAAAGCGUGGGGAGCGAACCGGAUUAGAUACCCUGGUAG
rnacentral:rRNA from 1 species